UUUUUUUGUCAACAACUUUUAAUUAAAAAAUUCAACAGAGUCAUUCCUAAAGAAUGUUGUUUACAUAAGUGAUAUGAUGUGGUUCGGUACGAAUUUUUCGUGCCAACUUAUCCGCUUUUACAUUUGCACUUCGAGAAAUAAGAGAUAAUGAGAAACUUGAAAAUUCUUCCUUGUCGCUCUUAAAAUCUUCCAAAUACACUGAAAAGGCCGGCCAUUCGGUUGGCAAAGACACCAUAUUCACCAGGUCUGAACAGUCUGUAUAAAAAGCUACAUCUUGAUUGUCGGCUCCAAUCAUAUACUUCAUCGCCCAGAGAAAAGCUUCCACUUCUGUAUGUAAUGGAGAAAGACUUCUUCGGAUGUUGGCUGCUCCCAUG
rnacentral:lncRNA from 1 species